rnacentral:tRNA from 1 species
GUCCCCAUCGUCUAGCCCGGCCUAGGACACCGCCCUUUCACGGCGAUAACACGGGUUCGAAUCCCGUCGGGGACGCCA